UACGAAGGGGGCUAGCGUUGUUCGGAAUUACUGGGCGUAAAGAGCUCGUAGGUGGUUUGUCGCGUUGUCCGUGAAAACUCACAACUCAAUUGUGGGCGUGCGGGCGAUACGGGCAGACUGGAGUACUGCAGGGGAGACUGGAAUUCCUGGUGUAGCGGUGAAAUGCGCAGAUAUCAGGAGGAACACCGGUGGCGAAGGCGGGUCUCUGGGCCGAUACUGACGCUGAGGAGCGAAAGCGUGGGGAGCGAACAGG
rnacentral:rRNA from 1 species